GGGCAUUCUGUUUUAGAAGCAUGUGACUAAGUCCAUAUUCAGGGGAAAGGGAACUGGAUUCCAUCUCUUGAUGAGAGAAGUGUCAAAGAAUUUGCAUACAUGUUUUAAACUACCACACCCUUGUUCCUGAGUGGUAAAUAAAUUAUAGGAGGGCAACAGUGGAAGAAGGGAGGCCGAGUAGGAGUCAGUGCAGUAUCCAGGCAAGAAAUGACAAUGGAGUGGAGAUGAAAGAUGUGCAGAAUGCUAGGACGCACCUGGAAGUUUUCUAGGUGGAGGUUCUGGAGCUGACCCUAAGGAAAACUGCUAUGGUAAAAUAUGGAAAAAGGACUAUGGGAUCUUGGACAGAAGUCUCCAACUUCAACUGGAAAAGUAAGAGAAGGUGGCACAGGAAACCAAUAACCCAGCUGCUCCUUGGUGUUGGCUCAAUGCUCCUCCAUGUCAGAGCUGAUGGGCUCUAUUCCUUCACCUCGGCCAAGCAUUCCGAGAGUGCACUGGUCUAUAUAUUAGAAAAUCA
rnacentral:lncRNA from 1 species